CGGCCGCCAUGGCGGCCGCGGGAAUUCGAUUAGAGUUUGAUCCUGGCUCAGGACGAACGCUGGCGGCGUGCUUAACACAUGCAAGUCGAACGGUGACCCGGACUUCGGUCCGGCGAUCAGUGGCGAACGGGUGCGUAACACGUGGGCAACCUGCCCCAGACUCUGGGAUAACCCCGGGAAACCGGGGCUAAUACCGGAUACUCCGGCCGUACCGCAUGACGCGGCCGGGAAAGCUCCGACGGUCUGGGAUGGGCCCGCGGCCUAUCAGCUUGUUGGUGAGGUAAUGGCUCACCAAGGCGACGACGGGUAGCUGGUCUGAGAGGACGACCAGCCACACUGGAACUGAGAUACGGUCCAGACUCCUACGGGAGGCAGCAGUGGGGAAUCUUGCGCAAUGGGCGAAAGCCUGACGCAGCGACGCCGCGUGGGGGAUGAAGGCCUUCGGGUUGUAAACCCCUUUCGGCAGGGACGAAGCUAACGUGACGGUACCUGCAGAAGAAGUCCCGGCUAACUACGUGCCAGCAGCCGCGGUAAUACGAAUCACUAGUGAAUUCGCGGCCGCCUGCAGGUCGACCAUAUGGGAGAGCUCCCAACGCGUUGGAUGCAUAGC
rnacentral:rRNA from 1 species